AGCGUACACGGUGGAUGCCCUGGCAGUCAGAGGCGAUGAAGGACGUGCUAAUCUGCGAUAAGCGUCGGUGAGGUGAUAUGAACCGUUAUAACCGGCGAUUUCCGAAUGGGGAAACCCAGUGUGUUUCGACACACUAUCAUUAACUGAAUCCAUAGGUUAAUGAGGCGAACCGGGGGAACUGAAACAUCUAAGUACCCCGAGGAAAAGAAAUCAACCGAGAUUCCCCCAGUAGCGGCGAGCGAACGGGGAGGAGCCCAGAGCCUGAAUCAGUGUGUGUGUUAGUGGAAGUGUCUGGAAAGGCGCGCGAUACAGGGUGACAGCCCCGUACACAAAAAUGCACAUGCUGUGAGCUCGAUGAGUAGGGCGGGACACGUGGUAUCCUGUCUGAAUAUGGGGGGACCAUCCUCCAAGGCUAAAUACUCCUGACUGACCGAUAGUGAACCAGUACCGUGAGGGAAAGGCGAAAAGAACCCCGGCGAGGGGAGUGAAAAAGAACCUGAAACCGUGUACGUACAAGCAGUGGGAGCCUCUUAAUGGGGUGACUGCGUACCUUUUGUAUAAUGGGUCAGCGACUUAUAUUCUGUAGCAAGGUUAACCGAAUAGGGGAGCCGAAGGGAAACCGAGUCUUAACUGGGCGUUAAGUUGCAGGGUAUAGACCCGAAACCCGGUGAUCUAGCCAUGGGCAGGUUGAAGGUUGGGUAACACUAACUGGAGGACCGAACCGACUAAUGUUGAAAAAUUAGCGGAUGACUUGUGGCUGGGGGUGAAAGGCCAAUCAAACCGGGAGAUAGCUGGUUCUCCCCGAAAGCUAUUUAGGUAGCGCCUCGUGAAUUCAUCUCCGGGGGUAGAGCACUGUUUCGGCAAGGGGGUCAUCCCGACUUACCAACCCGAUGCAAACUGCGAAUACCGGAGAAUGUUAUCACGGGAGACACACGGCGGGUGCUAACGUCCGUCGUGAAGAGGGAAACAACCCAGACCGCCAGCUAAGGUCCCAAAGUCAUGGUUAAGUGGGAAACGAUGUGGGAAGGCCCAGACAGCCAGGAUGUUGGCUUAGAAGCAGCCAUCAUUUAAAGAAAGCGUAAUAGCUCACUGGUCGAGUCGGCCUGCGCGGAAGAUGUAACGGGGCUAAACCAUGCACCGAAGCUGCGGCAGCGACACUGUGUGUUGUUGGGUAGGGGAGCGUUCUGUAAGCCUGCGAAGGUGUGCUGUGAGGCAUGCUGGAGGUAUCAGAAGUGCGAAUGCUGACAUAAGUAACGAUAAAGCGGGUGAAAAGCCCGCUCGCCGGAAGACCAAGGGUUCCUGUCCAACGUUAAUCGGGGCAGGGUGAGUCGACCCCUAAGGCGAGGCCGAAAGGCGUAGUCGAUGGGAAACAGGUUAAUAUUCCUGUACUUGGUGUUACUGCGAAGGGGGGACGGAGAAGGCUAUGUUGGCCGGGCGACGGUUGUCCCGGUUUAAGCGUGUAGGCUGGUUUUCCAGGCAAAUCCGGAAAACCAAGGCUGAGGCGUGAUGACGAGGCACUACGGUGCUGAAGCGACAAAUGCCCUGCUUCCAGGAAAAGCCUCUAAGCAUCAGGUAACAUCAAAUCGUACCCCAAACCGACACAGGUGGUCAGGUAGAGAAUACCAAGGCGCUUGAGAGAACUCGGGUGAAGGAACUAGGCAAAAUGGUGCCGUAACUUCGGGAGAAGGCACGCUGAUAUGUAGGUGAAGCGACUUGCUCGUGGAGCUGAAAUCAGUCGAAGAUACCAGCUGGCUGCAACUGUUUAUUAAAAACACAGCACUGUGCAAACACGAAAGUGGACGUAUACGGUGUGACGCCUGCCCGGUGCCGGAAGGUUAAUUGAUGGGGUUAGCGGCAACGCGAAGCUCUUGAUCGAAGCCCCGGUAAACGGCGGCCGUAACUAUAACGGUCCUAAGGUAGCGAAAUUCCUUGUCGGGUAAGUUCCGACCUGCACGAAUGGCGUAAUGAUGGCCAGGCUGUCUCCACCCGAGACUCAGUGAAAUUGAACUCGCUGUGAAGAUGCAGUGUACCCGCGGCAAGACGGAAAGACCCCGUGAACCUUUACUAUAGCUUGACACUGAACAUUGAGCCUUGAUGUGUAGGAUAGGUGGGAGGCUUUGAAGUGUGGACGCCAGUCUGCAUGGAGCCGACCUUGAAAUACCACCCUUUAAUGUUUGAUGUUCUAACGUUGGCCCCUAAUCGGGGUUGCGGACAGUGUCUGGUGGGUAGUUUGACUGGGGCGGUCUCCUCCUAAAGAGUAACGGAGGAGCACGAAGGUUGGCUAAUCCUGGUCGGACAUCAGGAGGUUAGUGCAAUGGCAUAAGCCAGCUUGACUGCGAGCGUGACGGCGCGAGCAGGUGCGAAAGCAGGUCAUAGUGAUCCGGUGGUUCUGAAUGGAAGGGCCAUCGCUCAACGGAUAAAAGGUACUCCGGGGAUAACAGGCUGAUACCGCCCAAGAGUUCAUAUCGACGGCGGUGUUUGGCACCUCGAUGUCGGCUCAUCACAUCCUGUGGCUGAAGUAGGUCCCAAGGGUAUGGCUGUUCGCCAUUUAAAGUGGUACGCGAGCUGGGUUUAGAACGUCGUGAGACAGUUCGGUCCCUAUCUGCCGUGGGCGCUGGAGAACUGAGGGGGGCUGCUCCUAGUACGAGAGGACCGGAGUGGACGCAUCACUGGUGUUCGGGUUGUCAUGCCAAUGGCACUGCCCGGUAGCUAAAUGCGGAAGAGAUAAGUGCUGAAAGCAUCUAAGCACGAAACUUGCCCCGAGAUGAGUUCU
rnacentral:rRNA from 1 species